AUGUGAGCUCAUUAAGGCCAGGAAUACACCCACGGCACCUUUAGGACCUUCGAAAUAGCACUUCAACCAAACAAGACAAAGGUCCUCUCCUUCCACUCGCUGCAUUCAUGAUCUUCACCAGCGACGGCGUUGGCUCGGUCGUCAUGGAGAUGGAGCUGCUGAAGCUCAAGCGCAGCAGCUACCGAACAAGGAGCUGUCGUUUUGGAGAUCUCUCCUUCUGUCGGCUUGUCAGACCUUGAAUUGGGCUGAGGCAAACAAACAACAUGAUGAAAUUUCUGCGGAUGAUAUAUUGCCCGGUUGAUGUCAGUGUAUUAGAAGUGUGGUGUGGGGUUGAUUCCGCAAACAAAGCCAGAAUUGAUUCUCCUUAUUGAAAUCCGCCACGUAAUAUCUGAGGGGAUCCAUCUGGACCGCAAAGCUCUCUCGCCCUCUAUAAAUAAAAGCAGACUGAAGAGGGGAGAGCGGAGGAGAGGGGGGAAAAGGAAGGAAAACGGGAGCCUCCCCUGGAAAAGGGGGGAUCGACGUUGGAGAAGACGGAGGAGGAGGAACUUAAACAAUUUGGCCUGCUCGGUGGUGCUGAGACUUCGGCGCUGCCAGACGGCACCAUAUGAAGGCAUUAGCGAGACAAAACACCGCCUAACACCCAGUCCAACUUCCUAGGAUCAAUGAAGAGGCGUUGGCUGCGGUGCCUCUGCUCAGUCAGCCACUAACUCUCCUUCUGUCCAUCCAGUGAUCAUCACCAUGUGUGCACACUGUGGCCCCGGAGUUUGAUGAGGAUGAUUUUCCCGUAGAUGGGAUGAUUAAUGUUGCUGCUCUAAGAUGCUGAGUGAGAUUGAUGCUGCCCGCUAUCCCCUGCAUGCCUAAUCUUUCAUCCUUACAGUAAAUAUGACACAAUGUCCAUAUGCACGUGGAAACGGCCUGAUUACAAACAGCUUGCGAAGCCCUCGUCCCGUUUAAUGAUUACAUCCAAAGGCACUCUGAGUCAAACGGCCGUUUCCCAUAAUGAAAUUAGCUGGUCGCGCUAUCUGCCCGCCUCUGAGCGCGAGGCAAGGAGUUUCCGCGAGGGUCACCCCAGCUAAGUAAUCCUAGUUAAGCAACUCGAAUGCAAAUGAGAUGUAAAUCAAGCUAAAACGGAACACUGGUUAAUUUGGCCUCCUGACAUUGCAAACAGUCGCAGGGGGAUCCGAUGCAAAUUGCAUGCAAAUGACAACUGACGGUCUUUGUCUCCAUUGGCUCAAGGGUAUGAGCCUACGAGCUCAGGUUCGUGUCUGGUUUUGUCUAUGCAAAUAUUUGAUGUAUCCAAGUGGAACUAAAGAAAGUAAAUACCCACUGGAGAGAGGGCUGGAGAGGUGGACGAGGUUCACAACAGGUCACGAGGCUGUCAUCGCAAGAGCUGAGGCAUUAUACACCCACACCGCGCGGCCCCGGCGCGGGAGAGGAAAAAUCCAAAACCUCAGACCAGAGAGCACGAGUGAGCCAGACGUUACAUUCCAACCGCUCCGCGUUUACCAAAAGCCAGGACCCAGCUGUGUGUGAUCCAGCCAACUCCUACAUCAUCUGGAGCCUUGCCUUAUAUAUUCACUGCUCAGAUCAAGCCCUACAGUACAAAGCCCCACAUGUAAUUUUGGCAAUCCUACCAGGCCUGUAUUAAGACCUGACAGAGAGCGUAUCUAAAUCCAAAGCCCCCUGGGAAGAGGUCAAAUCUUUGUGGAGACGAGCCCCUAAAGACCAACGGGCUGGGCAGAAUGACUUUCCUAGUCCAUGUACCGACCCCCCCAGUAUGGAUUCCCCUACACAAGAAAUUGAUUGUCCCUGCAAUCUUCUAUCAACCAUCAAUAUCAACCAUCAAAAGAGGUGGAAAUCAA